GGAAGGAUCAUUAGUAAAUGUCCCACUUGGAACUUAACAAUUCCAUACCCACCUUUGUGCAUUGUUGGAACGUUUUGGCUGCCUUUGGCGCUUUCCUACUCCAAACGGGGUUCAAUAGGGGUUUCUUGUCGUCUUUAGCGGUUUUGGUUCUUAGGAACUCUAACUAAUAAAGCCGAUAAGAGUUAAGACUCGUGUUUUACUCUGGGGAAAGAGGCCGGAGGGUUAGCCCCACUAUUGGGUUUUACCUCUUCUUAUUGUAACAAUUUUGACUGAGUCUGUAGAGUUUCUUAGCAAUAGGAAUCUUUAAAAAAAAAUGAAAAAUACAACUUUCAACAACGGAUCUCUUGGCUUCCACAACGAUGAAGAGCGCAGCGAAAUGCGAUACUUAAUGUGAAUUGCAGAAUACCGUGAAUCAUCGAGUUCUCGAACGCAUAUUGCGCUUCUUGGUUCUCCAAGGAGCAUGCCUGUUUGAGUAUCAGUGUACAACUCUCAAGUCUAUCUUAGUUUCGGCUUAGACAGACUUGGAAUUGGACUUUCCACAAAUUCCCUUUAACGAGAAUUGUGAAGUCUUAAUUGAGACCCAUAGGGAUUUGAUUUUAAACCUAACAAGCUGAGGUCCUUUUGCUUAACAGCGAUUUCUCCAAGGCUCUACAAGUUUUUCGAUCUGCUCAACUUGAACAAUAGAUUUCGGUCUUAACGUUUUUGUUUCCUGUGGCAUUAGUUCUGAUAGGCGAUGCAAAUCGUGUGUAUCGGAAUAGAGUUAACAGAGUCUUAACGGACUUUGUGCUUUUGAUCUCAAAUCAGGCAAGACUACCCGCUGGACUUAAGCAUAUCAUUAAGCGGAGGAAAAGAACUAACAAGGAUUCCCCUAGUAACGGCGAGUGAAGCGGGAAAAGCUCAAAUUUGAAAUCUGUAAGGGUUCCCCUUGCCGAAUUGUAAUUUGGAGAAGUGUUUUCGGUUAACACGCUCAGCAUAAGUCACUUGGAAGAGUGCAUCAUAGAGGGUGAGAAUCCCGUCUGUAGUUGAGCGUUGUUGGCCGUGUGAUACACUUUCAAUGAGUCGGGUUGCUUGGGAAUGCAGCCCAAAAUGGGUGGUAAAUCUCAUCUAAAGCUAAAUAUUGGUGGAAGACCGAUAGCGCACAAGUACCGUGAGGGAAAGAUGAAAAGAACUUUGAAAAGAGGGUCAAAUAGUACGUGAAAUUGUUGAAAGGGAAACGUUUGAAGUCAGUGUUGCGCUCUGAAAUUCAGCUACGCGACUUGGUGCAGGCUUGUGGUGGUGAGCCGUUAAGGCCAUCGCUACUUGUUUGCUGCCUUGUUGUUUGGUGCAUUUUUUAGAGGGCAGGUCAACAUCAGUUUCGUUUAGUGUACAACCGCGUUAGGAAGGUAGCCGCUUCUGGCGGUGUUAUAGCCUACGCUUAUGCGCUAAGUGGGACUGAGGUUCGCAGUACGAGCCUUUCGGGGCUGGGUUAGCUUUGCUUUUCUUUGCCCAAGAGUUCUCUGCUUGCAGAGCGUUUUUGUCGUAAGGGAAAUUCCUUUGUGAUUCCGCAAUCGUACUUAGGAUGUUGGCGAAAUGGCUUUAAAUGACCCGUCUUGAAACACGGACCAAGGAGUCUACCAGAUAUGCGAGUAUUUGGGCGGCAAACCCAAAUGCGAAAUGAAAGUAAGCUUAGGUGGGAUCCUGUAAAAAGGUGCACCAUAGACCGGUCUGGAUCUUUAUGUGAUGGAUCUGAGUAAGAGCAUAUCUGUUAGGACCCGAAAGAUGGUGAACUAUGCCUGAAUAGGUGAAGCCAGAGGAAACUCUGGUGGAGGCUCGUAGCGGUUCUGACGUGCAAAUCGAUCGUCAAAUUUGGGUAUAGGGGCGAAAGACUAAUCGAACCAUCUAGUAGCUGGUUCCCUC
rnacentral:misc_RNA from 1 species